rnacentral:rRNA from 1 species
UACGUAGGCAGCAAGCGUUGUUCGGAGUUACUGGGCGUAAAGAGUGCGUAGGUGGUGCCCUAAGUCUGUUGUGAAAUCUCCCGGCUUAACUGGGAGGGUGCGGUGGAAACUGGGGUGCUUGAGUGUGGGAGAGGUAAGCGGAAUUCCUGGUGUAGCGGUGAAAUGCGUAGAUAUCAGGAGGAACACCGGUGGCGAAGGCGGGUCUCUGGACAGUUCCUGACGCUGAGGCACGAAGGCCAGGGGAGCAAACGGG